UUUUAGGCUUAAAGUUUCUUGUACUUUUCUUUUUAUUUUAUGUUUUUGUCAAAAUUGGUGUUGGUCCAUUUUCAGCUAUAUUGAUUGAAAAAAUAGAUCUUUUUUCUAUAUUACCAUUUUUCAUUCUUCUGCAAUUUAGUUAUGAAAUUUAUGGGAAAUUAAAGUCCCCAAACCCAAAAUCUGGGUUUUUUUAGGCUUAAAGUUUCUUGUACUUUUCUUUUUAUUUUAUGUUUUUGUCAAAAUUGGUGUUGGUCCAUUUUCAGCUAUAUUGAUUGAAAAAAUAGAUCUUUUUUCUAUAUUACCAUUUUUCAUUCUUCUGCAAUUUAGUUCUGAAAUUUAUGGGAAAAGUCCCCAAACCCAAAAUCUGGGGUUUUGAAAUCAGAUUAAUUGAAGAAAGUUUCUUGUUUCUUUUACUUAAUGUAUAUGUCAAAAAUUGGUAUUGGUCCAUUUUCAGCUAAAUUGAUUGAAAAGAUAUUGGCACAAUUACAAAAUUUGGGUUAGAGUGCCAGAUUAAUUGAAGAAAGUUUCUUGUAUCUUUCUACUUAAAUGUUUAUGUCAAAACUGUUGUUGGGUCCAUUUUCA
rnacentral:lncRNA from 1 species